GGGAGGAAAGCAGGGGAUCGCAAGACCUUGCGCUCUUGGAGCGGCCGAUGUCUGAUUAGCUAGUUGGUGAGGUAAUGGCUUACCAAGGCGACGAUCAGUAGCUGGUCUGAGAGGACGACCAGCCACACUGGGACUGAGACACGGCCCAGACUCCUACGGGAGGCAGCAGUGGGGAAUUUUGGACAAUGGGGGAAACCCUGAUCCAGCCAUGCCGCGUGAGUGAAGAAGGCCUUCGGGUUGUAAAGCUCUUUCAGCCGGAACGAAACGGUCACGGCUAAUACCCGUGACUACUGACGGUACCGGAAGAAGAAGCACCGGCUAACUACGUGCCAGCAGCCGCGGUAAUACGUAGGGUGCAAGCGUUAAUCGGAAUUACUGGGCGUAAAGCGUGCGCAGGCGGUUUUGUAAGUCAGCAUGUGAAAACCCCGGGCUUGGUUNCAAAA
rnacentral:rRNA from 1 species